UACGUAGGGUGCAAGCGUUAAUCGGAAUUCUGGGCGUAAGCGUGCGCAGGCGGUUUUGUAAGACAGGUGUGAAAUCCCCGGGCUUAACCUGGGAACUGCAUUUGUGACUGCAUAGCUAGAGUACGGUAGAGGGGGAUGGAAUUCCGCGUGUAGCAGUGAAAUGCGUAGAUAUGCGGAGGAACACCGAUGGCGAAGGCAAUCCC
rnacentral:rRNA from 1 species